GACCGGCGCACGGGUGAGUAACGCGUAUGCAACCUACCUUCUACAGGGGAAUAGCCCGAAGAAAUUCGGAUUAAUGCUCCAUGGUUUAAUUGGAUGGCAUCAUUUGAUUAAUAAAGAUUUAUCGGUAGAAGAUGGGCAUGCGUAUCAUUAGCUAGUUGGUGUGGUAACGGCAUACCAAGGCGACGAUGAUUAGGGGUCCUGAGAGGGAGAUCCCCCACACUGGUACUGAGACACGGACCAGACUCCUACGGGAGGCAGCAGUGAGGAAUAUUGGUCAAUGGAGGCAACUCUGAACCAGCCAUGCCGCGUGCAGGAUGACGGUCCUAUGGAUUGUAAACUGCUUUUGUACAGGAAGAAACCUCGCUACGUGUAGCGAUUUGACGGUACUGUAAGAAUAAGGAUCGGCUAACUCCGUGCCAGCAGCCGCGGUAAUACGGAGGAUCCGAGCGUUAUCCGGAAUUAUUGGGUUUAAAGGGUUCGUAGGCGGUCGGAUAAGUCAGUGGUGAAAUUUCUUAGCUUAACUAAGACCCGGCCAUUGAUACUGUUUGACUUGAAUAGUAUGGAAGUAACUAGAAUAUGUAGUGUAGCGGUGAAAUGCUUAGAUAUUACAUGGAAUACCAAUUGCGAAGGCAGGUUACUACGUACUUAUUGACGCUGAUGAACGAAAGCGUGGGGAGCGAACAGGAUUAGAUACCCUGGUAGUCCACGCCGUAAACGAUGGAUACUAGCUGUUCGGUUUUCGGACUGAGUGGCUAAGCGAAAGUGAUAAGUAUCCCACCUGGGGAGUACGUUCGCAAGAAUGAAACUCAAAGGAAUUGACGGGGGCCCGCACAAGCGGUGGAGCAUGUGGUUUAAUUCGAUGAUACGCGAGGAACCUUACCAGGGCUUAAAUGUAGAUUGACAGGUUUGGAAACAGACUUUUCUUCGGACAAUUUACAAGGUGCUGCAUGGUUGUCGUCAGCUCGUGCCGUGAGGUGUCAGGUUAAGUCCUAUAACGAGCGCAACCCCUAUUGUUAGUUACCAGCGAGUAAUGUCGGGAACUCUA
rnacentral:rRNA from 1 species